UGGGGAAUAUUGCACAAUGGGCGGAAGCCUGAUGCAGCAACGCCGCGUGCGGGAUGACGGCCUUCGGGUUGUAAACCGCUUUCGCCUGUGACGGAGCGUGAGUGACGGUAAUAGGUAAAGAGGCACCGGCUAACUACGUGCCAGCAGCCGCGGUGAUACGUAGGGUGCGAGCGUUGUCCGGAUUUAUUGGGCGUAAAGGGCUCGUAGGUGGUUGAUCGCGUCGGAAGUGUAAUCUUGGGGCUUAACCCUGAGCGUGCUUUCGAUACGGGUUGACUUGAGGAAGGUAGGGGAGAAUGGAAUUCCUGGUGGAGCGGUGGAAUGCGCAGAUAUCAGGAGGAACACCAGUGGCGAAGGCGGUUCUCUGGGCCUUUCCUGACGCUGAGGAGCGAAAGCGUGGGGAGCGAACAGGCUUAGAUACCCUGGUAGUCCACGCUGUAAACGGUGGGUACUAGGUGUGGGGUCCAUUCCACGGGUUCCGUGCCGUAGCUAACGCUUUAAGUACCCCGCCUGGGGAGUACGGCCGCAAGGCU
rnacentral:rRNA from 1 species